CGAACGGGUGAGUAACACGUGAGUAACCUGCCCUUGACUCUGGGAUAAGCCUGGGAAACUGGGUCUAAUACCGGAUACGACCAUCUGGCGCAUGUCAUGGUGGUGGAAAGCUUUUGUGGUUUUGGAUGGACUCGCGGCCUAUCAGCUUGUUGGUGGGGUAAUGGCCUACCAAGGCGACGACGGGUAGCCGGCCUGAGAGGGUGACCGGCCACACUGGGACUGAGACACGGCCCAGACUCCUACGGGAGGCAGCAGUGGGGAAUAUUGCACAAUGGGCGGAAGCCUGAUGCAGCGACGCCGCGUGAGGGAUGACGGCCUUCGGGUUGUAAACCUCUUUCAGUAGGGAAGAAGCGAAAGUGACGGUACCUGCAGAAGAAGCGCCGGCUAACUACGUGCCAGCAGCCGCGGUAAUACGUAGGGCGCAAGCGUUAUCCGGAAUUAUUGGGCGUAAAGAGCUCGUAGGCGGUUUGUCGCGUCUGCUGUGAAAGACCGGGGCUCAACUCCGGUUCUGCAGUGGGUACGGGCAGACUAGAGUGCAGUAGGGGAGACUGGAAUUCCUGGUGUAGCGGUGAAAUGCGCAGAUAUCAGGAGGAACACCGAUGGCGAAGGCAGGUCUCUGGGCUGUAACUGACGCUGAGGAGCGAAAGCAUGGGGAGCGAACAGGAUUAGAUACCCUGGUAGUCCAUGCCGUAAACGUUGGGCACUAGGUGUGGGGGACAUUCCACGUUUUCCGCGCCGUAGCUAACGCAUUAAGUGCCCCGCCUGGGGAGUACGGCCGCAAGGCUAAAACUCAAAGGAAU
rnacentral:rRNA from 1 species